rnacentral:rRNA from 1 species
CCUACGGGGGGCAGCAGUGAGGAAUAUUGGUCAAUGGGAGAGAUCCUGAACCAGCCAAGUCGCGUGAGGGAAGACGGCCCUAUGGGUUGUAAACCUCUUUUGCCGGAGAACAAAACCCGGGACGUGUCCCGGCCUGCGUGUAUCCGAAGAAAAAGCAUCGGCUAACUCCGUGCCAGCAGCCGCGGUAAUACGGAGGAUGCGAGCGUUAUCCGGAUUUAUUGGGUUUAAAGGGUGCGUAGGCGGUCCGUUAAGUCAGCGGUAAAAUUGCGGGGCUCAACCCCGUUGAGCCGUUGACACUGGCGGACUUGAGUUGGCGAGAAGUACGAGGAAGGCGCGGUGUAGCGGUGAAAUGCAGAGAUAGCGCGCAGAACGCCGAUUGCGAAGGCAGCGUACCGGCGCCAGACUGACGCUGAGGCACGAAAGCGUGGGGAUCGAACAGGAUUAGAUACCCGUGUAGUC